CAAAGUGUAGCUUAACCAAAGCAUCUGGCUUACACCCAGAAGAUUUCAUAUACUAUGACCACUUUGA
rnacentral:tRNA from 2 species